CCUACGGGUGGCAGCAGUGAGGAAUAUUGGUCAAUGGACGAGAGUCUGAACCAGCCAAGUAGCGUGAAGGAUGACUGCCCUAUGGGUUGUAAACUUCUUUUAUAUGGGAAUAAAACGUUCCACGUGUGGGCUUUUGUAUGUACCCUAUGAAUAAGGAUCGUCUAACUCCGUGCCAGCAGCCGCGGUAAUACGGAGGAUCCGAGCGUUAUCCGGAUUUAUUGGGUUUAAAGGGAGCGUAGGUGGAUUGUUAAGUCAGUUGUGAAAGUUUGCGGCUCAACCGUAAAAUUGCAGUUGAAACUGGCAGUCUUGAGUACAGUAGAGGUGGGCGGAAGUCGUGGUGUAGCGGUGAAAUGCUUAGAUAUCACGAAGAACUCCGAUUGCGAAGGCAGCUCACUGGACUGCAACUGACACUGAGGCUCGAAAGUGUGGGUAUCAAACAGGAUUAGAUACCCGAGUAGUC
rnacentral:rRNA from 1 species